rnacentral:rRNA from 1 species
AGAAUCAACGCUGGCGGCGUGCCUAACACAUGCAAGUCGAACGCGAAAGUCCCGCAAGGGGCAAGUAGAGUGGCAAACGGGUGAGUAACACGUGGGUGACCUGCCUUCGAGUGGGGGAUAACGUCCCGAAAGGGACGCUAAUACCGCAUAACAUCCCGCCUUUGAACAGGUGGACAUCAAAGCUGGGGACCGCAAGGCCUGGCGCUUGAAGAGGGGCCCGCGCCUGAUUAGCUAGUUGUGGGGUAAUGGCUCACCAAGGCAACGAUCAGUA